GACGAACGCUGGCGGCGUGCCUAACACAUGCAAGUCGAACGGACAGGCCCUGCUUUUGUGCGGUGCUCGAGUGGAGAACGGGUGAGUAACACGUGUGUACCCUGCCCUUGCCUUUGAGAUAACUUCAUGAAACUGGGGCUCAUACCGGAUAGGAGCUCCUGCUGCAUGGUGGGGGUUGGAAAGUUUCGGCGGUUGGGGAUGGACUCGCGGCUUAUCAGCUUGUUGGUGGGGUAGUGUCUUACCAAGGCUUUGACGGGUAGCAGGGCUGGGAGGGUAACCGGCCACGUUGCGAUGGGAAUACGACACGGACUAGUCCGGUACGCAGGGGAGCAGAAGAUUGUACAAGGGGCGGAAGGCUGAUGCAAUCACGCCGUGUGGGGGAUGAGAGCCAGCGGUUAGUAAACCGCAGUCGCCUGUGACGAGGAGUUAGUGACGGUAACGGGUAAAGAAGCACCGGCUAACUACGUG
rnacentral:rRNA from 1 species